rnacentral:rRNA from 1 species
UGGGGAAUAUUGGACAAUGGGGGGAACCCUGAUCCAGCCAUGCCGCGUGUGUGAAGAAGGCCUUAUGGUUGUAAAGCACUUUAAGCGAGGAGGAGGGUACUGGUAUUAAUACUACCAGGUACUGGACGUUACUCGCAGAAUAAGCACCGGCUAACUCUGUGCCAGCAGCCGCGGUAAUACAGAGGGUGCGAGCGUUAAUCGGAUUUACUGGGCGUAAAGCGUGCGUAGGCGGCUAAUGGAGUCGGAUGUGAAAUCCCCGAGCUUAACUUGGGAAUUGCAUUCGAUACUGGUUAGCUAGAGUGUGGGAGAGGAUGGUAGAAUUCCAGGUGUAGCGGUGAAAUGCGUAGAUAUAGGAAGGAACACCAGUGGCGAAGGCGACCACCUGGGCUCAUACUGACACUGAGGUGCGAAAGCGUGGGGAGCAAACAGG